rnacentral:rRNA from 1 species
UACAGAGGGUGCGAGCGUUGUCCGGAAUCACUGGGCGUAAAGCGCGUGUAGGCGGUUGUCCAAGUUGGAUGUGAAAGCCUUGAGCUUAACUCAAGAAAUGCAUUCAGGACUGGAUGACUAGAGGACCGGAGAGGAUAGUGGAAUUCCCAGUGUAGUGGUGAAAUACGUAGAGAUUGGGAAGAACACCAGUGGCGAAGGCGGCUAUCUGGACGGUUUCUGACGCUAAGACGCGAAAGCGUGGGGAGCAAACAGG